rnacentral:ncRNA from 1 species
ACGGAGGAAGCCGAAAAUCCAUUAAAGAGUAGGCA